CACGUCUGCCUGGGCGUCACGCAUCGCGCUACACUGAUGUCUUCAACGAGUUUAUAGCCUUGGCCGACAGGCCCGGGUAAUCUUUGAAAUUUCAUUGUGAUGGGAAUAGAUCAUUGCAAUUGUUGUCUUGAACGAGGAAUUCCUAGUAAGCGCGAGUCAUCAGCUCGCGUUGACUACGUCCC
rfam:Nicotiana attenuata strain TT scaffold05808, whole genome shotgun sequence.